GGAUUUGCAUUGCAGCAGGGGGAUCUCACCGAGGCAGGAAACUCAGCACUCAGGCUUGGUGCCAGAUUCUGAACGUGCACGAUUCCACUUUUGAAAUAAGUAAGUGGAGGUGACUGGUUACCCAAGGCCUGUUCUUCCAAACCAGGCAGUUUCCAAUCUCAUAAUUGCCUUUUUCUGCAUGGAUUUUGCAAUCUAAGAUUUGGUCAAGAUACUGUACUAAAAAAAAAAUAAUUCACAGUCCUCAGGAAGGAGAGAUUAUAGCUUUCAGAUCUCAUUAUAAAAGCCUUGCCUCUCUGGAAUGAGCAAAAGGGAAAACAAAAACAGUACUUUGGAAUUUUCCUCAGAACAGCUACCGUGAUAGAGCACGAUGUUUUAUUUGUAUUUUCUUUCUGACAAUCCAUUUCUCAAGGAAUUGUUCCAAAGGCAAUAAACUCUUUUCAGAUAUA